rnacentral:rRNA from 1 species
UACGUAGGGUGCAAGCGUUGUCCGGAAUUAUUGGGCGUAAAGAGCUCGUAGGCGGUCUGUCGCGUCUGCUGUGAAAACUCGGGGCUUAACCCCGGGCCUGCAGUGGGUACGGGGCAGACUAGAGUGCGGUAGGGGAGACUGGAAUUCCUGGUGUAGCGGUGAAAUGCGCAGAUAUCAGGAGGAACACCGGUGGCGAAGGCGGGUCUCUGGGCCGUAACUGACGCUGAGGAGCGAAAGCGUGGGGAGCGAACAGG